rnacentral:lncRNA from 1 species
AUAUGCAAAAUAAAAAAUGCAAUGCGUUUUACAUAAAAAAAUAUGAAUUAAUUCGUUAUAGGUAUAACUUCAAUAUUUUUUUGUCACUGGAUGGCGCCACUUUUCAACUCGAGUUCAUCGAAAUAUAUAUAUAUAUAUAUUCGACCUUAAUUCCCUUUACUCGAUGGUUACGACUAACGGCAUGGCGAAUUCAGACCGCUGAGAUCCUUGAAGGGAUCGGCUGGAUUGUAGAGGAUGGAUCGGAUCAUAAAUUCAUGAAUAAAUUUACUAAAUCGUAGGAUUCGAAAUCGAAUUUGGAUCUAUGGGGAAAGCUGAAACGUUUCCUGCUGACAAUUUGUCCGACAACUUUAGUAUUUAAAUAAACGAUGAAAAUUUUAUGUACAUCUUUAAGUACCUGUUACCAAUCUAACCGAUAGCAGAAGUAAAUUAUCAACCGGAUUAGCUGUGUGAUAAAAUAAUAGCUUACGACUUUAGAAGAUCUGAGUCUCACAUCUCCAAGUUUUAGGAUUGGGUCUACACCUGUCAGCUGAAUGGCCACGUAAUAUAGCAUUCGUUCAUCACUUCACACACCACUAUACUCGAAUCCUCUAAAAUUAGAUUUGAAGCCCCUCUCUUCUCUAGUUUUUCAGGAGGAUUCCAGGACAGGCCAUUUAACCCUAUCCUUCUUCCUUCCAGUUGGCUCCAUCAUAAGUAUUGGUCAGACCAUGAUGGGCUCUACAGGUGACCGCCGCCAAUUAUAUCCAUGGAUCGGUCGGAUGGCUGCAGUGAAAGUGUGACGCGCUUACACCUUGGAUGAUCCAGAUUCAAUUCCUGGGUCUUUUUUUUUUGUUAACAGAUGACGCCACAUUCCAUUCUCUAGAGAUCGGAAGAG